GAUGAACGCUGGCGGCGUGCCUAAUACAUGCAAGUCGAGCGAACAGAUGAGGAGCUUGCUCCUCUGACGUUAGCGGCGGACGGGUGAGUAACACGUGGAUAACCUACCUAUAAGACUGGGAUAACUACGGGAAACCGGAGCUAAUACCGGGUAAUAUAUUGAACCGCAUGGUUCAAUAGUGAAAGACGGUUUUGCUGUCACUUAUAGAUGGAUCCGCGCCGCAUUAGCUAGUUGGUAAGGUAACGGCUUACCAAGGCAACGAUGCGUAGCCGACCUGAGAGGGUGAUCGGCCACACUGGAACUGAGACACGGUCCAGACUCCUACGGGAGGCAGCAGUAGGGAAUCUUCCGCAAUGGGCGAAAGCCUGACGGAGCAACGCCGCGUGAGUGAUGAAGGUCUUCGGAUCGUAAAACUCUGUUAUUAGGGAAGAACAAAUGUGUAAGUAACUAUGCACGUCUUGACGGUACCUAAUCAGAAAGCCACGGCUAACUACGUG
rnacentral:rRNA from 1 species